UACAGAGGUGCCGAGCGUUAGGCGGAAUCACUGGGCUUAAAGCGCGUGUAGGCGGGUCGCUAAGUGUCCGCGUGAAAUCCCACGGCUCAACCGUGGAACGGCCGGGCAUACUGGCGACCUUGAGGCGCCCAGGGGCGAGCGGAACAAGCGGUGGAGCGGUGAAAUGCGUAGAUAUCGCUUGGAACGCCGACGGUGAAAACAGCUCGCUGGGGCGUACUGACGCUGAGACGCGAAGCCAGGGAGCGAACGGG
rnacentral:rRNA from 1 species